rnacentral:rRNA from 1 species
GACGGACGCUUGCGGCGUGCUUAACACAGGCAAGUCGAACGGGGGGGCCCUGCGUUUGUGGGGUGCUCGAGUGGCGAACGGGUGAGUAACACGUGAGUAACCUGCCCUUUACUUUGGGAUAACUUCAGGAAACUGGGGCUAAUACCGGAUAGGAGCUCCUGCUGCAUGGUGGGGGUUGGAGAGUUUCGGCGGUUGGGGAUGGACUCGCGGCUUAUCAGCUUGUUUGUGGGGUAGUGGCUUACCAAGGCUUUGACGGGUAGCCGGCCUGAGAGGGUGACCGGCCACAUUGGGACUGAGAUACGGCCCAGACUCCUACGGGAGGCAGCAGUGGGGAAUAUUGCACAAUGGGCGGAAGCCUGAUGCAGCAACGCCGCGUGCGGGAUGACGGCCUUCGGGUUGUAAACCGCUUUCGCCUGUGACGAAGCGUGAGUGACGGUAAUGGGUAAAGAAGCACCGGCUAACUACGUG